CAACUUAGAAUAGAUUUACAAGGAGAUCCUGCUGAAUAGCAUUGAGAACUAUGUCUAGAUACUCAUGUUGCAGCAGAACAAAGGGUGAGGAAAAAAUGUAAUAUAUACAUGUAAGGAUAACUUGAUCCCCUUGCUAUACAGUGGGAAAAUAAAAUAAAAAAAAAUUAAAAAAAAAAAACCCUAGCCUCUGGAGUUCCCAUCGUGGUUCAGUGGUUAAGGAACCUGACUAGUAUCCAUGAGAAUGUGGGUUCGAUCCCUGGCCUCACGGUGUUGCCGUGAGCUGUGGUGUAGGUUGCAGACAAGGCUCAGAUCCCACAUUGCUGUGGCUCUGGCGUAGGCUGGCAGCUACAGCUCUGUUUCCACCCCUAGCCUGGGAACCUCUGUAUACCAUGGGUGCAGCCCUAAAAGACAAAAAAAAAAGUCUCUGAGGGAUUAUAGAAAGGCUCAGGAUCCUAGUCCUAGUCAGUAAUAGAGUGACAGACUGAAAUCCAGAAUUGUGCUUUUGUCUGUGGUCGCACAUUUUAAAGAAAGCAAAGGUCAUUGCCUUUAGGGAGUUUAUCAUCAAAUGAAGUUUCUAGAAAAGUGCAAGGAAACAUGUCAAGAAUAUAUAGUGGGGAGUUCCCAUUGUGGCUUAGCAGGUUAAGAACCCAACUUAGUAUCCAUGAGGAUGUGAAUUGGAUCCCUGGCCUUGCACAGUUGGAUUAAGGAUCUGUGUUGCCACAAGCGGCAGCGUAGGUUGCAGACGCAGCUCAGAUCUGGUAUUGCCAUGUCUGUGGCAUAUGCCUAAGCUGCAACUCUGAUUCGACUCCUAUCCCAGGAACUUCCAUAUGCUGCAGGUGUCUCUGUAAAGAUAAAAAAAAAAAAAAGGAAUGUAUGUUGGGAAUAUGUGUAACAGUCCAAAACUAGCUACUGGUAUGAAUCAAGUGCAGGGGGCUGUCUGGCAUGAUUAGAGCAGGGUGGGUGAGACUCAUCAAGAGACAAGAAAGAAAAGGUGAGUUUGAAGCCACAUUCAGAAGAUUUGGUUCUUUUUGCAGGGACCUGUAUUUUCCCCUCUGUGUUUUAAAGGUAAAACAUGGAUCCAUGAGACACUGAAUAGCAGGAGGGUGUCUAUGGAGAAGACCAUCAUGUCGAUGUCACUAAAACCCAUUAAUGAAGUGGAAAAUGUGUGCAAGUCAUGGGCAGGGCACCAAAAGCACCUUGAUUUUCCUGAAGUAGAAGGUACAGCUCUUCAAUUACAUGCUGAGGGCAUUGGUCGGUGUUCCUUGACCCUGAGCCUAUAGCAGGAGCAGCCAACUAGGCAGGGCAGGGUGUCAGGGUACUUGGACUCAAGGUCAAUGCUUUCCUCUUUCUUUCUCUUCUGAGAAAGUAAAAUCAGGGUCAUUAUUGCUCAACAGCUCUGGAAAAAGUGUUGUCCACAGUAGUUCAAACCAACCUUAACUUUUCUCCAUAAGGGAGAAAUCAUUAAAAACACGCUUUGGCAAUGAGUUCCUAUUGUACAGCACAGGGAACUAUAUCUAAUCUCUUGAUAUAGAACAUGAUGGAAGGUAGUAUGAGAAAAAUAACAUAUAUGUGUGUAUAUAUAUAUAUAUGCAUAUGACUGUGUCACUGUGCUGUACAGCAGAAACUGGCACAACAUUGUAAAUCGACUAUAAUUUAAGAAAUUUUAAAAAAAAGAAGAAGAAAUGUAAGAAAACAAUGCUUUGGAAAAGAAGAUAGAAGCUGACCCACAGAAGAGGAAGGGAACAAAGGAAAUGUUUAUAGAGUAAGCCUGAUUAGUUUCUGUUGUGGUAGCCUGGGCCAUUUCAAAUAGAGGACCAUGUCAUGAAUUCCAGUCUCACAUCUAGCUCGUGAAGGAAAGGUAUUCAGAUAGAGAACAGGUCAUUAUAACAAUGUCUUCAAAAACUGCCUUACUGAUUUAAGCACUUUAUAUUGUAGGAUCCAGGAAAUCAGAUGUAUUUUCCUAAAGAAAAUCUUCAUCCAUAAUAUAAAAAUCAAUGCGCUCUAUAUGAGCAUGAAAGAGAUUCAUUGUGAAUGGGAAAGGCGAACUGAAGACGGAUGACCCUAUUUAAGCAUUUUAAAAUAUAAUUUUACCUGUUAAUUUUUUUUUCUUUUACACUGAUUAAUAUCAUUGGCUCUAGGAGAAGAAUGUAUAAAGAGUAAAUUGAAACUGUGGAGAUUAGCUCCUCUACUAAAAUGUGAGGGCACAGGAGGCAGAAUAUAAAGCUAGCACAUGCUGCUUGAUGACUUACCCAUCCUUGAUAAGGGCCCUGGAAACCAAAGGAUGCUGUCAGCAGAAUCAGCAGUUUUAAUUACACUGGCAUGAGCCUCUCCAAUGUGAGGGCAGCCCGAUUAGAACUGAUGAACCUUGGCUAAUAAAAAGCCUUACAGGUUAUGAAAUUAUACAUUAUAAUUGAAGAAAAUCACCAUUAUCUUAGUGUUUUUUUUCUUUCCCGGUGCUUUAAUGAUUAGUCCAAGAGGAAAGAGAAGCCUGACUUUGCAUUCCUCUCUUCAGUGUGUUUUAUUUACACUGAAAGUAUGAAUCAAAGGGCACCAUGGCCAAUACCAUUUUCUUAUUAGGAAAGACCUUUGGCUUCAAGAAACUUUCUGGUUAAAUCCAGUUUUCACUUUAUAUAUGAUGACUGUCAAGUCACACAUAGGCCUGGGGAGGGAAGAUUAAAAUUUUUUUUUUUCUGGUUUGGCUUCCUCUGUGUUGGGCACAAUACAACAAUACAGAGUUGUUUUCUUGUUUUUGGUUUGGGAGAUUUUUAAAAAUUACUAAAAAGGUAGGAGACAGCUGGCUCUUGGAUUGAUGCAUAAAUCUUCCCAUUUCUGAAUGCUGUGAUUAAUUGCGUGCAUGUGAAAGAUUACCUGGAGUUAUGAUAAGGGAAUACUGAUGCCUUUAGUCAUUGUCAUGAAUCACACCCAUCAUUUCCCUCUUGAAAGACAUGCCAAGAUAAUGCUGCUUGAUCCAAAUACUUGCAGUGUUUAUAUUAGAGGACUUAGACCAACAUUUUUCUGUACAUCUGUCGAAAGCGUGGCCAAAAUCUGGCUUUUCAUUGUGGGAAAUCUAAUCUGUCACUGAGAAAGUCAAAACAAAAGGCAGUUAUCACAUGUGGGACGAUAUACUGUUUGCCACGUCAUGAAAGAAGAGUAUACUUUCAUUUGUUCAAUCUUCCUGUCUUCUUUCUGUCUUCCCACAAAUAUUGCUGGGGUGCACAUUGGGAAAUAAGAGUAAAAGAGCCUAGGACCUAUUUUCUGGGAGUUCCUGUCUGAUGACUUACCCAUCCUUGAUAAGGGCCCUGGAAACCAAAGGCACAGUGAAUUAAGAAUCCAACUGCAGUAGCUCAGGUUACUCUGGCUGUGCAGGUUCUAUCGCUGGCCCAACACAGUGGGUUAAAGGAUCUAGCAUUGCUGUAGCUGCAGUUCAAAUUCAGUCCCUGGCCUAGGAAUUCCCAUAUACCAUCGGUGCAUGGUAU
rnacentral:lncRNA from 1 species